rnacentral:rRNA from 1 species
UUAUUUGAGAGUUUGAUCCUGGCUCAGGAUGAACGCUGGCGGCGUGCCUAACACAUGCAAGUUGAGCGAUUUACUUCGGUAAAGAGCGGCGGACGGGUGAGUAACGCGUGGGUAACCUACCCUGUACACACGGAUAACAUACCGAAAGGUAUGCUAAUACGGGAUAAUAUAUUUGAGAGGCAUCUCUUAAAUAUCAAAGGUGAGCCAGUACAGGAUGGACCCGCGUCUGAUUAGCUAGUUGGUAAGGUAACGGCUUACCAAGGC